GUGCCCUGCUGUCCUGGAGCACAGAGGACCAGGAGCCAAGGCCACUCGUCCUGCCUGCACCACAACCAGAGUGUAGCCAGGAGAGGCUGAGCUCAAUGAUUCUGCAGAACGGUGGAAGGGGUUCAGCCCAGCCUUGCCUGAGAUGUAUCGCGGGGGAAUCUGGCCAUUUUAACCAUACCAGCAAUCAUUAGAAGAUGCAAACGGGACAAAGGAAGAUUCCAGUUGAGUUUGAAUCCUCACAUGAUGGCCAGUGCACAUCCCGUACAUCUUGCUUGGAUGCCCACCUAUUCAAAUGAUAGUCAGGGCUCCCUGCAGAGGUUGUCUGCCUCUCAGGUAAUCCCACUGUCCUCUGCAGAAGGCCAGGAACAUUCUGAGUGGGGUGGCUCACCGCAGCCUCUUUUCUAAUGUCUUCUGCUGGACAAGAAAUUAUCUAGAAGUCAGAAAAUUCUGUAUCAAACUGCCUUGGGCCUCAUAGCUCAUGUAAUCAUUAGGCUCAGCCGAGAUCUCCCUGCCUGUGGACUUUGGGUUGUUUCUGGACAUUACUGGGCUGCUUAUAUACUCUUUUUAAUUAAAAGACUUAUUUUUGUAUUUUAAAUGCUCUAUAAUGUUGAAGUGAAUGUUACUAAAUGCUGAUGCCCAAUCAAACUAUGUAAUUCUCCAAUUGAAGUUAUCAGGGACAGAGCCCCAUUUAUAUUAAAAUGGAAAUUAUGGAC
rnacentral:lncRNA from 1 species